UGAACGCUGGCGGCGUGCCUAAUACAUGCAAGUCGAGCGAACAGACGAGGAGCUUGCUCCUCUGACGUUAGCGGCGGACGGGUGAGUAACACGUGGAUAACCUACCUAUAAGACUGGGAUAACUUCGGGAAACCGGAGCUAAUACCGGAUAAUAUAUUGAACCGCAUGGUUCCAUAGUGAAAGACGGUUUUGCUGUCACUUAUAGAUGGAUCCGCGCCGCAUUAGCUAGUUGGUAAGGUAACGGCUUACCAAGGCAACGAUGCGUAGCCGACCUGAGAGGGUGAUCGGCCACACUGGAACUGAGACACGGUCCAGACUCCUACGGGAGGCAGCAGUAGGGAAUCUUCCGCAAUGGGCGAAAGCUUGACGGAGCAACGCCGCGUGAGUGAUGAAGGUCUUCGGAUCGUAAAACUCUGUUAUUAGGGAAGAACAAAUGUGUAAGUAACUAUGCACGUCUUGACGGUACCUAACCAGAAAGCCACGGCUAACUACGUG
rnacentral:rRNA from 1 species